CGGGGGGAGCAAGCGUUGUUCGGAUUUACUGGGCGUAAAGGGCGCGUAGGCGGCUACCGCAAGUCGACUGUGAAAUCUCCGGGCUUAACCCGGAAAGGUCAGCCGAUACUGCGGGGCUAGAGUGCAGAAGGGGCAACUGGAAUUCUCGGUGUAGCGGUGAAAUGCGUAGAUAUCGAGAGGAACACCUGCGGCGAAGGCGGGUUGCUGGGCUGACACUGACGCUGAGGCGCGAAAGCUAGGGGAGCGAACGGGAUUAGAUACCCCGGUAGUCCUAGCCUUAAACGAUGAAUGCUUGGUGUCUGGGGUUUUAUAGUCCCCGGGUGCCGUCGCUAACGCUUUAAGCAUUCCGCCUGGGGAGUACGGUCGCAAGACUG
rnacentral:rRNA from 1 species